rnacentral:rRNA from 1 species
UACGAAGGGGGCUAGCGUUGUUCGGAAUCACUGGGCGUAAAGCGCACGUAGGCGGACUUUCAAGUCAGGGGUGAAAUCCCGGGGCUCAACCUCGGAAUUGCCUUUGAUACUGUAGGUCUCGAGUCCGGAAGAGGUGGGUGGAAUUCCUAGUGUAGAGGUGAAAUUCGUAGAUAUUGGGAAGAACACCGGUGGCGAAGGCGGCCAUCUGGACCGCAACUGACGCUGAGGCGCGAAAGCGUGGGGAGCAAACAGG